UACGUAGGGGGCAAGCGUUGUCCGGAAUCAUUGGGCGUAAAGAGCGUGUAGGCGGCCAGAUAGGUCAGCUGUGAAAACUCGAGGCUCAACCUCGAGAUGUCGGCUGAAACCAUCUGGCUAGAGUACGGAAGAGGCGAGUGGAAUUCCUGGUGUAGCGGUGAAAUGCGCAGAUAUCAGGAGGAACACCGGUGGCGAAGGCGGGUCUCUGGGCCGAUACUGACGCUGAGGAGCGAAAGCCAGGGGAGCAAACGGG
rnacentral:rRNA from 1 species